rnacentral:snRNA from 1 species
AAAUGGUGAGGGUGAUAUGCGUAUGAUAUCUGUCAUCCCAUUGAUGACCAGAGUUUAUAUGGCUAAUCUGCCUGGCUCUGCAGGUGUCUUCUUCCCUGCUUAGCGCUCUGUGUGCUUCAAGUGUGUCCCUCCCAAAGCUACAUGCUCCCUUGCUCCCUCAAAGAGGAUGGCGACCCUAGAUGGAGAAGGAUGAUUUCCUCAGGUCAAGUGUAUGCGAGUAGUUGUACUCCUGUGCUAUAAACUCUGAAUGAGCACUCAAGAAAUAAGUGCUGUUUUUCAGGGAUUUAAACAAUUAAAAUAUAUAUACAUAUAUAUACUAUAUAUACUAU